GUUCAGAAGUGCAUAAGUCUAACAGUUUUUCAGUGGGUAGAGCAAAGGGAGUCUGUAUUUUACCAGCUACUAUCAACAUAAUCUCAAAUACAGUAUGUUAAUGUCGAAGAGCAAUAAUAACAAUAUAAUCAUGUCAGAACUUGGUGCCAAAGCCUCCUCGAUGCCCGGAGCCCAGCCGCAAGAGCAAGGCUGCCAGGAAGGCUGCAGGAGCUGAGAAGGACACAGGGGGCAACAAGGGGCCUCUGGCAGAGUCCUGGAGGGUUGUGGAGGACGCUGGAGCGGCUUAUCCUUCAGCCCUGGAUGACGAGCUGGCAGGACUAGGCAGGGUGGUGACUGGUGGUGCAUGUGCGAAGAUGCUUCCCGUCCCCCAGACCAGCUACUGUGUUCUUCCAGCAAUCAAAAGUUCCUCUCACCCAGUGGAACCAAUCAGAGCAUCGGCCUCUGAAACACCCGGGCCCCUGGGCUGCAGAGCCACACCAGAUGGAAGGGAGAGUGCGUACUCCUCUCCACCUGCGUCUCCACCUGCGUCUCCACCUGCG